AUGGCGCUAGAGGGCUCACCCUCCUCCCCUGCAGACCCUGGUUAAUUCCCGCAGCCUGAGGUCCGGGCUGUCCUCAAUGUCCCCAGCCCAGCCCAGGUCACAGAGCUGCCGUUCCUCCCCGGGGCACACAAUGAAACGGCAGCCUCUGUAGGCGGAGAAUCCUUCCCCUUGAGAAGGCUGAAACCUGAGGGGAGGGAGAAUUCUCAUUUCCACUGGCCUCCUGAAAACCUUCCACGGAUUGACUCUGCCUCGGUAUAUUCCUCUGCAAGGGAGAGAAGAAACGGAGCUCACCAUGGCCUCAGGGAGUGGAACUGCUCUGUGGAGCCUUCUCCUCACCUUUGCUUUUCUCUUCUCCUGCUGCGAAGCCCAAGUGGUUCAGAGCCCCGAGUGGCUGGUUACAGGGGACGGGAAGGUCUCCACCAUGUCCUGCUCUUUCACCAGCGCUUACCAAAUCUUUUACUGGUACCAGCAGCUGCCUGGGCAAGGGCCGACCCACCUGCUGACCGCGAGGUCUAAUGACAAUGUCACUGUGGGGAGGUUCAUAGGCGAGCGCCUGGAAAACGGGAAACGCAGCUCUCUGCACAUCACCGACUCCCAGUUGGGGGACUCAGGCAGCUACCUCUGCGCGGUGGAUGCACACUGGGGCACAGCAACCAUUAUUCCAGUCGCCGAGGUGGAGUACCAGCAGCAUCAGAGUCAGAGCACUCUGCGUGCCUUGCCAGUGUGGACAGUUCCUGAACCGAGGACCACAAUACAUAGCUUCUGGUACCAGGAAAUCAUUAAUAGCCCCAAGCCCGAGGGAGCUUUGCACAUCCCCAUAGACAGAAAAUCCAGCACCCUGGUCUUACACAUGAUGAGGCUGGCAGAUGCGGCGGUGUAUUACUGUGCUGUGGAAAACACAGUGUGA